rnacentral:rRNA from 1 species
UACGUAGGGUGCGAGCGUUGUCCGGAUUUAUUGGGCGUAAAGAGCUCGUAGGCGGUCUGUCGCGUCGAUCGUGAAAACUUGGGGCUUAACCCUGAGCUUGCGGUCGAUACGGGCAUGACUGGAGUUCGGCAGGGGAGACUGGAAUUCCUGGUGUAGCGGUGAAAUGCGCAGAUAUCAGGAGGAACACCGGUGGCGAAGGCGGGUCUCUGGGCCGAUACUGACGCUGAGGAGCGAAAGCGUGGGGAGCGAACAGG